GAUGAACGCUGACAGCAUGCUUAACACAUGCAAGUCAACUGUGGCGGACGGGUGAGUAACGCGUAAAGAGCUUGCCUCACAGCUAGGGACAACAUUUGGAAACGAAUGCUAAUACCUGAUACUGUGAGAGAGCUUUGCGUCCCAUUAGCUAGUUGGAGAGGUAACGGCUCACCAAGGCGAUGAUGGGUAGCCGGCCUGAGAGGGUGAUCGGCCACAAGGGGACGGAGACACAGCCCUUACACCAACGGGAGGCAGCAGGGGGGAAUAUGUGACAAUGGGCCAAAGUCUGAUCCAGGAAUUCUGUGUGCACGAUGAAGUUUUCGGAAUGUAAAGUGCUAUCAGUUGGGAAGCGGUACCAACAGAAGAAGUGACGGCUAAAUACGUGCCAGCAGCCGCGGUAAUAC
rnacentral:rRNA from 1 species